UAAAAGCCCCAAGUAAGCACACUCCUGGGUCACAAGAAACUAGUGUCUCUGGGAUAGGACAGGAUGUAAGUCUGAUCUCACAGAUUUUUGCUGGAGUCGCGGGGUGGGGUGGGCAAGGUCUCCCUAGCCAUCCAUGGCCCCCUUGCCUGGAGCCUGCAGAGGGCCAGCAAGUCACUUCCACAGCACCUGGGACAAAGGGCUGGUGGCUGCUUCAGUCAAUAGGAUGUAAUGGAAAGAAUGCUAUGGGACAUCCAAGGGCACCUGCUUCUUUGGAUGAAGAUUUGAAUUGUUACCUCUCAGAGCCAAUAAGAGACUGCACCUCUCUACAGACAAAGGAAGGAGUUAAUCCCUGUUAGCCAGUGUGCACCUCGCCUGCUCCUAAGAGAACUGCUCUGGGAUCCACAGAGGGGACUCACUGACACCCGGCCACUUGCUUAGCUGCUGUGUGCCCUCCCAGGGGCCAUGGACAGAAGCCAGAAUGACUACGGCUCGCCUGCUCCAUCACAGCUCAGACCUCACAAGGCCACCCCAGCCCUGUCUGGGCUUCCAAUCAGCAGAGGGAAGAUACCUGUCCAGCCUCCUCUUGCAGCCCCUUUGGGGUCCUGUCUUGCUUCCUAGAGGCUGAGAUUAAGGCUGAAAUCUUAAAUGCCUAGCGCAUCCCAGGAGCCCAGUGCAAGCAAGUUUGAUAAAUGGAUAGAAUUGUGAAUGAGUGGGGUUGGGGGGUGGGAUCUGAUGUGCAGGGCAGAUAGUGGUGGACAAUAAAUACUUGGGCAGAUGUGCAUCACUAAAUGAAAUGCAAAUACCUGGCCUGUGGAAGAUAUGUUAAAUGUCCUUAUGGUCCAGGCACUUGGUAAUCUCCCCUUUCCCAUACCCUUCAGCCCUUAACCUUAACUGUGCUGCCCACACCCACCCCCUGCAGCUGCUAAUAUCUUCAUCUCUUUGCUGGAGGGCUUUCUCUACUACCUGCCAGCAGAGCAGACUGCAAGUCCUGGGGAGUUAGCUCAAGACCACCAGCAGUCCUGGAAACAAGGACUGAUUGAAGCUGGGGUGUUUAUGCCUAAGACAUGAGUAUCUUUGAGGUCCCAGUGAGACAGAAUUACAAUGAUCUGCAGUGGUCAUUUCCUUGAUAACAUCCUUUUUGUGGCAGGGAGAGGGGAAAAAUAAUCCUUCCUUUUUCUUUCCUCACUUCUCUUCUCCGCUACGGAUCUUUCCCAGGAUCAUCUCCCAAGUCAACUACCUGUGCUCAAAUCCCUGUCUCAGUGUCUACUUCUGAAGGACCCCACGCUAGAAUGGUCAUCGAGUGGAUGAAUGACUUAUUUAGUGAACUCAGCUGGAAGGCCAGAGUGCUAUCUAUUUAAAACAUAGUAGAUUUCCCCUUGUGGCUCUGUGUGUUAAGAACCCAACAUAGUGCA